rnacentral:lncRNA from 1 species
GGGAGAGACAUCACAUUCUCCCAGAUCUGGGGGGCCCAUGGAGGCAUCAUCAGUGUCUCUUGGAUGCAAACUUCUGGAAAUCUCUGGAAUUCAUCACCCAUUUGUCAGUUGAUUGGGGUGCACACCUGAGCGCCCCCCCUCAGAGGACAUUCAGGGGUAAACCUUGCAUUGGUGACUCCUCUCUCAGAAGAGAGAAGAUGAAGCUGAAAACUGCUUGCUCCAUUGUUUUGCCAAAAAGAAAGAAAGAAAGAAAGAAAGAAAGAAAGAAAGGAAGGAAGGAAGAAAGAAAAAAUGUACAAUGGGGAAAGGUCAGAAGCAGCGGGGCCACCCCUCUGCUCUGGGUGACAUUUCAAGACUGGCCUGGCAGUCCCAGGGGGCUGUCUCUCCCCUCCCCCUCCCCCUCCCCUUCCCCCUCUGGGGUUCAAGGUCCUGGGAAUCCCCCUCCAAUGAACCCUACUCCCAUGGCUGCCUCCAAGGGAGGGCCCCCCAACUUUCCCUAGAGAAUGCAAGAGAACUUUCUAGUGAGAAAAAAAAAGGAAACCUCCCCCAUCCUGUAAAGGCUACCUCAUUGAGCCCACGCUGUGAUUUGAAAGAUCACGUCUGAUACCAAAGAUUCCCCCACCCCCAAGGGUUUGUGCUGGAAGCCAGGGUGUCCCCACUUUCACCCCAUGGCUGUCCCCCACCCGAGAGAGAGAGAGAGAGAGAGAGAGAGAGAGAGAGAGAGAGAGAGGGACAGGAGGACAGAGAGGUCGGCG